UUAUCGCCCAUCGCCUUGAGUUGAUCUGGCUCAGAAUGAACGUUGGCGGCGUGGAUUAGGCAUGCAAGUCGAGCGCUCACCCGCAAGGGUGGGAGCGGCGAAAGGGAGAGUAACGCGUGCGUAUCUGCCCUCGGGACUGGGAUAGCUGCGGGAAACUGCAGGUAAUACCAGAUGACGUCCCCGGACCAAAGGUGUGAUUCCGCCUGAGGAUGAGCCCGCGUCCUAUUAGCUAGUUGGUAGGGUAAUGGCCUACCAAGGCAAUGAUGGGUACUGGGUGUGAGAGCACGACCCAGCUCACUGGGACUGAGACACUGCCCAGACACCUACGGGUGGCUGCAGUCGAGAAUCUUCGGCAAUGGGCGAAAGCCUGACCGAGCGACGCCGCGUGUGGGAUGAAGGCCUUCGGGUUGUAAACCGCUGUCAGAGGGGAGGAAUGGGCGGAGGGUAAUCUCUUCGUUUUGACCUAUCCUCAGAGGAAGUACGGGCUAAGUUCGUGCCAGCAGCCGCGGUAAGACGAACCGUACGAACGUUAUUCGGAAUCACUGGGCUUAAAGGGUGCGUAGGCGGCGCUGAAAGUUGGGUGUGAAAUCCCUCGGCUUAACCGAGGAACUGCGCCCAAAACUACAGUGCUUGAGGGAGAUAGAGGUGAGCGGAACUUAGGGUGGAGCGGUGAAAUGCGUUGAUAUCCUAAGGAACGCCAGGGGCGAAAGCGGCUCACUGGGUCUCUUCUGACGCUGAGGCACGAAAGCUAGGGUAGCGAACGGGAUAGAUACCCGGGUAU
rnacentral:rRNA from 1 species